AUCUGUGGGAUUAUGACUGAACGCCUCUAAGUCAGAAUCCUGCCUAGACGAAGCGAUACCGAAGCGCCAUGGAUUUUCGGUUGGCCCCUGAUAGCUGGCCUCCCCCCGGGGGGGCCCCGGUGAGCAGAGCCGCUCGUGACUGGACUGGGGCGCGGCCGGAUAUGCAGCCGCCCUUUUCCUCCCACGCAACUCAUGUUUGUGGAGAACCUGGUUCUAAAUCACUUGCAGACAACCUGAUUCUGGGUCAGGGUGUCGUAAUUAGCAGGGCAGCUCCUCUCCUG